AUCUUUCUAGAUACACUUUCCAGUACAUCUACUUUGUUACGACUUAUUUCAUUUUAAAAUGAAAGCGACGGGCGAUAUGUACAUAUUUUAGAGCUAAAAUCAUUUUAAAUAAAUUUAUUAAAAUUACAUUCAAAUCCAUAUUCAAAUUUUUAUAAUAAAAAUUAUCCUUAAAUAAAUUAAAUGUAACCCACCUCUUCUUUAAUAUAAAACUACACCUUGAUCUGAUUUAUUUUUUAAUAAAAAUUCUUGAAUAUUUAAAUUCUUAUAAAAUAUUCAAACUACGACGAUAUGUAAAUUAAUAAUUAAAGUAAAUUUUAUCGUGGACUAUCAAUUAUAGGGCAGGUUCCUCUGAAAAGACUAAAAUACCGCCAAAUUUU
rnacentral:rRNA from 1 species